UUCUUUUUGUUUUUUGUUUUUUUUUUUGUUUGUUUUGAAGGCUAAUCUUCUAAUAUACUUAAAUAUAUACCAUACUAUAUUCUUAAUAUAUAUUUAUAUAACAUAUAUAAUAUGCUAUUUUGUUUAAUUAAGUGGAAGGUUUCUAUGUUUUGGCUGUUAUAAGGAGGGUUCUAAUGAAAUGGUGGUGUUAAUAUACUGUUGUUAUCCUAAGUUCAAUUUUUGGAUAGUUCUAUUAUUUUUUAAGAUUUAUUUAUUGUUAUAUGUAAGUACACUGUAGUAGCUGUCUUCAGACACACCAGAAGAGGGUGUCAGAUCCCAUUACAGAUGGUUGUGAGCCACCAUGUGAUUGCGGGAUUUGAACUCAGGACCUUCAGAAGAGCAGUCACUGCUCUUAACCGCUGAGCCAUCUCUCCAGCCCCAGAUAGUUCUAUUUUUAUUUAAAAGACAUAUCUUUAUUAUUUAUUUUGUGUUUGACCAAUUCAUGGUUAGAGAAGAACCUAAAGGAGUUUGCUCUCUCCUUCUGUCACGUGGGUUCUGGGGAUUGAACUCAGGUACUCAGGCUUGGUAGCAAGUCCCUUUGUCUUACCAGCUCCUUAUUUGAAAGGUUUUACAAUUUUAUGUAUUAUCUGUGUGUGUGUAAGUAAUGUGUAUACAACUCUCAGGAAUUGGUUGUCUUCCACUGUGGGUUCUGAGAUCAAACUCGAGUUGUCAGCCGGGCAGCAGCAAGCCCUGGAAGCAAGUGCUUCCACCUGCUGAGCCACCUCACUGGUGGCAGCUUUACUAUUUGAGGACCCUCCAUACAGUUUUCCAUGGUUCCUUACCUGUUUUGCAUCUUCACCAAAAGGUUUCCAGUUUCUCCCCAUGCUGGCCACGCUCCUUGUCUUCAUUUUUGUUUUUAGAGACAAUAUUUAUUACUCAUUGUGGUGGGCCAUGCCAAUAGCUCCCGGCUCGGAAGGUGGAGGCAGGAGCAUUAGCAGUUGGAGGUCAUCCUUGAUUAUAGUGAGUUCAGGGCUUGGUUUGGGAUACAUGACAUCAUUUCCAGGUGGGAGGACAGACAGAGGGAGGAAGGACAGACACUGACUCAGUGUGUAGUCCUGCUUGUCCUCAUACUGGUCUGCUUACUACUGACUGUCUCCUGAGCGCUGGUCUAGAAUUUGCUGUGUAGCCUAGGAUGAACCUGAACUACUGAUCUUGCCCUAACCUCUCCAUGCUGGGAUUCCAAGCAAGUGCCACCAUGCCAGGUUUAUUUGGUGUCAGGAGUUGAAUCCAGGGCUUCGAGGCUGCUAGUCACUCUGAGACGUGAGGUGAUAGCUCAUCGUGGUUUCAUUUAUAUUUCCCUAAUGAUAGCUAAUGACAGUUGAACAACUCAUAUGUCUUGGCCAUUUGUAUAUCUUCUCAGGACACAUGGCGUGGCUUUUUGGUUUUUGUUUUGUUAACUUUCUAAGACAUGGUCUUGCUCUCUAGCCCAGAGUUGCUUGGGUGCUGGAAUUAGCAGCUUGCAUCACCACGCUUCAGUUGUAGACUGUUUUAAAGUCAAUUUUAAAAAGUCAGAUUUUUUUCUUUAUUUUCUCAUCAAGUUAGAGCCCUUUUCACAUUCCAUCUUUGCUAUCUGUUACUUCUAGUUCUGGGCAAAUGAUCCUUUUCAUUGGGUGUGGCAUCCACCUGUAAUCCCUGCAUGGUGAGCAGUGGAGGGACCAGGAAUUCAGGGUCAUCCGUGGCUACACAAUAAGCUUGACGCCAGCUUGAAUGUAUGAAACCCUGUCUCCUCCCAACCCCCGCCACCCAAAGAAAAAAGAAAGGCUUUCCCCUUCAGCUCUAACUUCCUGCUCUACUCCUUCCCCUGAAAGUAUGAGCGCUAAGACUCUACCAUGGAGGGCUGGAGAUGUACCUUCCUAGCAUGUACAAGCUCUGGGUUUGAUCUCAGGUGCAUGUCUCACAAACAUACACACCACCAACAAAAAACAUUCCGUGUGUUAGACACUGUUCCGCAUGCAAUACUGUUGUGGGAAAUAUUUAAAAAUAAACCUGCCUACUCUCCUCUACACACAGCCACACCGCAGUCCCGUCCUUUCAUCCUCCUAAGAAAUUGAAAAGGGGGCUGAGAGGUCUAAUAGUUGCACCUAUGUCAGGACACCUCUGACCUCUGCAGGCAUGGUGCACACAGACACACUUU
rnacentral:lncRNA from 1 species